ensembl:misc_RNA Metazoa_SRP Metazoan signal recognition particle RNA
GCCGGGCUUGGUGGUGCGCGCCUGUAGUCCCAGCUACUCGGGAGGCUGAGGUGGGAGGAUCGCUUGAGUCCAGGAGUUCUGGGCUGCAGUGCGCUAUGCCGAUCGGGUGUCCGCACUAAGUUCGGAAUCAAUAUGGUGAACUCCUGGCAGCGGGGGGACCACCAGGUUGCCUAAGAAAGGGUGAACCCGCCCAGGUCGGAAACGGAGCAGGUCAAAACUCCCGUGCUGGCGCUGGGGAUUUAGCUCAGCGGCANNNNNNNNNNNNNNGCAAGCAGGCGGUCGUGAGUUCGAUCCCCGGUACCA